rnacentral:rRNA from 1 species
UACGUAGGGUGCGAGCGUUAAUCGGAAUUACUGGGCGUAAAGCGUGCGUAGGCGGUUGGCAAAGUCAGCUGUGAAAGCCCCGGGCUUAACCUGGGAAUGGCGGUUGAAACUAGUCGACUCGAAUCUGGCAGAGGGGGGUGGAAUUCCACGUGUAGCAGUGAAAUGCGUAGAGAUGUGGAGGAACACCGAUGGCGAAGGCAGCCCCCUGGGCUGAGAUUGACGCUCAGGCACGAAAGCGUGGGGAGCAAACAGG